AACGAACGCUGGCGGCAGGCUUAACACAUGCAAGUUGAACGGGAAUUGUAUAGUGCUUGCACUAUAUGAUGAGAGUGGCGCACGGGUGAGUAAUACAUGGGAACAUACCCUGAAGUUCGGAACAACAGUUGGAAACGACUGCUAAUACCGGAUAAUGCCUGAGGGAGAAAGAUUUAUCGCUUUAGGAAUGGCCCAUGGCAGAUUAGGUAGUUGGUGGGGUAAAGGCUUACCAAGCCGACGAUCUGUAGCUGGUCUGAGAGGACGAUCAGCCACACUGGAACUGAGACACGGUCCAGACUCCUACGGGAGGCAGCAGUGAGGAAUAUUGGGCAAUGGAGGGAACUCUGACCCAGCCAUGCCGCGUGAGUGAAGAAGGUUUUCGAAUUGUAAAGCUCUUUCGGAUGUGAAGAUGAUGACGGUAGCAUCUAAAGAAGCCCCGGCAAACUUCGUGCCAGCAGCCGCGGUAAUACGAAGGGGGCAAGCGUUGUUCGGAAUUACUGGGCGUAAAGGGUGUGUAGGUGGAUCUGUAAGAUAGCGGUGAAAUACCGGGGCUCAACCUCGGAAUUGCCAUUAUAACUAUGGGUCUGGAAUUAUAGAGAGGAUAGCGGAAUACCCAGUGUAGAGGUGAAAUUCGUAGAUAUUGGGUAGAACACCAGUGGCGAAGGCGGCUAUCUGGCUAUAUAUUGACACUGAGGCACGAAAGCAUGGGGAUCAAACAGG
rnacentral:rRNA from 1 species